AGGAGGCCAAAAAUCAUACAAUCAGCAAAACAUUAUGGUAAACCAGCAACCAAUCAUAAAGCCAAACUAGUAAGCAAUCAGGAAGCCAAAAUCGUGCAAUCAACAAGACAUUAGGACAUCAACUAUUAGCUGAAAUCACAGCUGUGACUAGGAGCAAAAUUGUAGAGUAAUCUUCUGUAUAUUCCAUACUUAGAACAUGAUGUAAUGUGUAUAUAUAUCUAUAAAAUAGUUAAUGAAAGUGUGGAGCCUGAAAUUCUCUUUAAGAUAUCAGAGCAUACAACCUCUAAUGAGUAUCUUGAAUCCUCUAAAAUGCCUUCUGCUGAAACCAUAUUUACUUCCACUUCUCCAGUCACUGUUAUUUCUCCCUUUGGAACUAACUUAGUUAGUGAAAAGUGAAAAGCUCACCCCAUCCAUCUUUCCCCAAUGGCGAGCCCAAUUUGAGGCCUUACUCAUUGGCUACAACCUCAUGGAUUAUGUUACAAGUACUUCUAUCUAUCCACAGAAAUCUAAUCCUGCACACUCAUUUUGGGUCUGUCAGAACAAACUCAUUCUCCAUGGCAUUCUCUCCUCCAUCUCUCCCACGAUUACUCCUCUUAUUGCAUAGUCUAAGAUAACAUAUGAUGCCUAGACAAAACUCAACUAGAUGUAUGCACGCAAAUCUCGGACCCGUGCCAUUCAAUUGAAGGAAGAACUUACUCUCAUUCAACAGGGUAACGUUCGGUAACAAAUUUCCUACAAGCCAUAAAAAUCCUUGCUGGUAAGCUUGUAUUAAUAGAUCAUCCAGUUUCCAAUGAUGAUCUCACCAUCUACAUUCUUAAUGGUUUGGGAUUAGUAUUCCAAGAGAUUGUCGGUCCUAUUCGCACUCGUAAGUCAUCCCUAACCUUUGAAGAGGUCUAUGGCUUACUUGUUGGUCAUAAGAGCUAUCUCUGGCGCCUAGAAAUUUCUGUCCAGCCUCUUGUUGCCACUGCUAACACAUCCCAGCAUCGUAUCACCUCAGGACCUCACGGUGGUGGGUACUCCAGGCCUCGCAAUCCUAUAAUCAGAGACAAAAGCCAAAAUGAUCUUGCAUCUCCUAAACAGUGGUCUCAUGGCCAAUAAGAUCAGCAAUUCGGGCCACGCCGUUACAAGCCUAAAUACCAAUUCUGGGAUGAUUUGGGCCACACGGCUAAAUACUACCCCAAACUAGAAGGCAAAAAUGUCUUGGCCCACUAUACCUCUUUCUCUAGACAAGACAAAAAAUGGCUUGUUGAUUCUGCGGCCUCACACAAUAUUACUUUUGACUUAUCCAAUUUAUCUACUCACUCAGAAUAUGAUGGUACAGAUGCAGUAGUCAUUGGUGAUGGAUCGGGUUUGUCGAUCUCCCACAUUAGAUCUUUGGCUUUAAAAUCGCCCUCUCAUAUUUUCCACCUCUGAGAUACCCUAUAUGUCCCUAGUAUUAAAAAAAACAUGAUUUCGGUUCAUCAUUUCACUAAACAUAAUAAUGUCUUACUUGAGUUUCACUCAUCUCAUUUUUUUGUGAAGGAUCGAACCACGGGGGCAACAAUACUACGAGGAGAAUGUGAAAAUGGCGUCUAUCCUCUUCCUGAUUCAUUGGCACCUAUUUCACCAAAUAAAGUAGCUUAUGUUCAUGAACACACUACAAAAGCUGGUUGACUAAAAGGCUUUGGCAUUCUUCAUUAAAAGUUGUCUCUCACAUUGUUAAUCAGUUUCAUUUACCUCUUAAAAAAUCAAAAACACCUUCUUUAUGUAUCUCUUUUAUAAUUAAUAAGAAUCAUAGACAACCUUUUCUUGCUACCAAUCUCACUAGCAUUGCCCCUCUUGAAUUAAUAUAUAUUGAUAUUUGGGGCCCUGCUCAUGAAGUUGGAAUAGAUGGCUCAAAAUACUACCUCAUCCUUGUUGAUCACUUCACAAAAUAUAUUUGGUUAUAUCCCAUGGCACAAAAAUCCAACGUCCAAAGCAUUUUUUCCCAUUUCAAACAUUUAGUGGAGACACGAUUUUAAGCCAAAAUUAGAAGUAUCUAUUCUGACAAUGGUAGUAGAUAUGUUGCCUUAAAACCUUAUCUCUCACCCCAUGGGAUCAGUCACUAUACUACUGCUCCUCACAUCCCUCAACAAAAUGGUAUCUCGAAGCGUAAUCAUCGCCAUCUAGUUGAAACUAGUCUCUCCCUUCUUAUGGAUGCCUUUAUGUCCCUAAAAUACUGGCCAUAUGCCUUUUAAGCAACCACAUAUCUUGUAAACAGGAUGCCUACACCCCUUCUAAAAAUUAAAUUACCAUUUGAAGCAUUGCUCAGUACCACUCCAAAUUAUUUAAAACUUCGACAAUAUGGUGGUCUAUGCUGUCCUUAUACUAGGCCCUACAGUCUUCAUAAGCUUCAGCCCAAAUCCAAACCCUAUUUGUUUUUAGGUUAUUCUCAAAACCAAAAUGCUUAUCAAUGCUUGGACCUUAAAACCUCUCGUGUCUAUCUCAGUAGGCAUGUUCUAUUUGCAGAAGAUACUUUUUCCCUGGCCUUUCAAGAACCUCAACCUGAUCCUAAAGAUUUGCUCCUAGUAGUGAGGCUUUUCUCGCCCUAGCCUGGGCUACUUCCCGUCUCACUCAAGCUGCAUAUAACCCAACAUCCGGUGAAGUUGCUAGUGAAUCUGGAUACAAGGAUUGAUGUUAUUUCUGCAUCUUCUUAUGGUAUUUCCUCUCCAUCAUUUUCUAAUCUAAAUUAUUCAUGCUCUUCUAGUGAUGGCCUGAAUAAUUCAUUCACUAGUUGUCCUAAAUCUAAUUCCAUCCAGAACUCUUCUGUUCCUUUAGAUUCACUAUAUUCAUUACCUAUAUCUUUAGUCCCCACCUAGGACACAUUCGAUGACCACUAGAUCUAUGAACAAUAUGCAUUCAAUAUGAUUGUUAAACCAGCUACUAUCUGCACUAUUUUAUCUGUUGCUAUGAUGCAAUGUUGGAGCUUGCGACGACUUGAUCUCAACAAUGCAUUCUUGCAUGGCACACUCAUGGAGGAUGUUUACAUGUCACAACCACCUGGGUUUAUAGAUUCCCAAUAUCUAGACUAUGUGUGCAAGUUGCGCAAGGCUAUCUAUGGUCUCAAGCAAGCCCUGCGAUUAUGGUACUCCGCCCUUAAAGAGGUAUUACUUGGUUUUGGAUAUAUCGAAUCUAAAGUGGAUACCUCGUUAUUUAUAUUUCAUUCUAGCUCUAUCACAUCCUAUUUUCUUAUCUAUGUGGAAAGACUUGAUAAUUACCGGGAAUGACUUACUAGUUGUAUCCAAGAUUGUGAAACAGCUUGGGAUGCAACUCUCUCAAAGAUUUGGGCAAUUUUCAUUUUUUUUCCUUGGUGUGGCAGUGAUAUCCACAACAACUAGUUUAUUUCUAUCUCAACAUAAGUAUAUCCGAGAACAUCUGCCUAAAACAAGUAUGGAGGGUGCCAAGGAUGUUACCAUACUACUAUCUACAUCAGUUCCCUUGAAACUCUGUGAUGGUACUUCUAGUGUGAACGACAACUCAUACAUGUAGGUUAUUGGUUCUCUAUAGUAUUUAUGUUUGACCCGUCUCGAUAUCAGUUAUGCAGUAAAACAAAUUAUCACAGUUCAUGCACAAACUGACUGCGACUCCUUGGGCUACAGUCAAGAGAUUGCUGAGGCAUCUGAAAAAUACCAUCUUUCAUGGCCUUUAGAUCAGUUCUUCUGCUAAACCAGUGCUUCGAUCUUUCUUUGAUGCUAAUUGGGUAGGGAAUCUUGAUGAUCGCAGCUCCAACUCCACAUAUGCAAUUUUCCUAGGCUACAAUCUCAUCUUCUGGAGUUCCAAGAAGUAGCGAUCUAUUGCUCAUUCUUCCAUGGAAGCUAAAUAUCGAGCCCUUGCUAACACUGCUUCUGAAACUGUGUAGCCCCUAUCUCUCCUGAUGGAACUUGGAUUUCCUCUUCAAGGGUCACCAACACUUCUUUGUGGCAAUCUUGGGACAACCCAUUUAAGUCUUAACCCGGUCCAACGUACUCGGAUGAAACACAUCUAGAUUGAUCUCCACUUUCUCGGUGAUCCAGUACAACAAGGCAAACUUCAAGUUUAACAUGUCAAUACACACGAUCAGUUAGCUGAUUUGCUUACAAAACCUCUCUCUCAUCAUCGGACUAUACACUUAUGGACCAAGCUUGGAAUCACCGAUGGCGGUUCCAUCUUAUGGGGCAUAUUAAGGAAGAGAAUUCAACCAAGAAUCUAGCCAAACCAGCAAGCAAUCAGGAAGCUAAAUCAGCAAGCAAACAGGAGGCCAAAAAUAUGCAAUUAGCAAAACAUCAAGACAAACCAGCAAGCAAUCAUGAAGCCAAACUAGCAAGCAAUCAGGAAGCCAAAAUCAUGCAAUCAUCAAGACACCAACUGUUAGCUGAAAUCAUGGUUGUGACUAGGAGCAAAUUUGUAGAGUAAUCUUCUUUAUAUUCUAUACUUAGAACAUGAUGUAAU
rnacentral:lncRNA from 1 species